UACGAAGGGGGCUAGCGUUGUUCGGAAUUACUGGGCGUAAAGGGCGCGUAGGCGGUACUUCAAGUCAGGCGUGAAAGCCCCGGGCUCAACCUGGGAACCGCGCUUGAGACUGGAGAACUAGAGUUCGGGAGAGGAUGGUGGAAUUCCCAGUGUAGAGGUGAAAAUUCGUAGAUAUUGGGAAGAACACCGAUGGGCGAAGGCAGCCAUCUGGACCGACACUGACGCUGAGGCGCGAAAGCGUGGGGAGCAAACAGG
rnacentral:rRNA from 1 species